ACGCUUCUGGCAUCUGGACACCUGGACUGAGAAGUUCAAGGCAUUUGUACAGCCUCUGAGUUGAUUCUUACGGUGCAGAGACCUAAAGUCAACGUAUUUUAAAUUUGAUAGCCUGAUUAUAACAGGGUUUAUAAAUCAUUCCUGAACAUCUACACAAACAACUGCUGCAUCCUCAACCACUGGUUUAGCAGUGCACAUCCAAGAAGGAGCCUACGCUUAAAUUGCAUGAGGAGAUCACAGGAGUUCUAGAAGGUCUGUGACUUUAGUAAUGUAAAUCAUUUGUGAAAAGCUCCUCCUGUAGCAGAAGAUCAUAGUUUGUAUGAUGUGUGUGGUUUCAGAACUAGUUAUAAGUGCCUAAGUGGUCAGUAGGAGUGUUAAAAUUGUUUCUUUUGUACCCUUUCAGGUGCUGGAGGGAAGCGCUGAGGAUAAAAAGAAAGGAAAACAUUAGAAAGCGAAAAGGUGCAUCCGAACAGCCGCAGGAAUGACCUGGGAAAAUCAGAGCCUCCUGGAAUGGGACAUUAAUGACUUUCGUAUUUUCUGUGGUUAUCUCGGCAAUGAGGUCAAUGAUGACAUCCUGGCUCGAGCUUUUAGCCGUUACCCUUCAUUUUUGAAGGCUAAAGUGGUACGAGACAAACGAACGGAAAGACCAUAGGGUACAGCUUUGUCAGCUUCAAGGAUCCUAAUGACUACGCAGCAUGCAAUGAGGGAGAUGAAUGGUAAGUGUAACCAUCUAUCGUGGAGCAGACGCCACGCACUCCAAAUAGCUCAGAGGCUUCAAGCAUCCACUGGGGAAUGGAGACCCUCAUAUUGCUAUCUGCCAUGUGUAUGGCUUUUGGUGUGUUAGUAAGCCAGAGCGAGUGACACUUGGCCAGUUACGCCAUACAGUGAAUUCUUGGACUGAGACAAUAAGACUCCAGCAUUUGUGUCUCAACGUGUUUGAAUUUUUGAGCAGGCGAUCGUUCCAUAAAUUGAGUUUGUUUUUGUGUAGCGCCGUUUGCAGAGUACAAAAUUGCAGGACUAUAAGAAGUCCACAGGUGAAAUGCUAUUACACAAUUUAUCAAUUACCGAAUCCACACGCCUAUAGACACAGAUUAGUAGGACAAAGUGUAUACAAGCUGGUUAACGUAAGUAAAUCCUAACAAGAAUUGUCUGUCUGUUAAUGUUACUCACUGUGCACAAUAAAUCUCUUGUGGAUAGGCAGGCGUCUGUCUUCAGCCGUAACAAAGUCUAACGUGGUCAUAGUCCUGGGACCCUUUCCAGUGGGCUGCCCAACCCAUCCUGAUCAUUCUGCAAUAUAACUCUGUGCCUGGCCAUUCAAUCUGAUGACAGAAUCUCUCUGGUACCUCAGAUGACUUUCCAUGGGCAGAACAGCUUGGCACUAGAGCACUGGAAACCGGGAGACCACAGGAUACCAAGGUGUAGUGACCGCUCAUAAUGAUUGUGCCACUUACAUAAAUGACUUAUAAACAGAGAUGCAAUAUGCACAGCCAGCCAGCAGCUCAAAUCCAGGUGUGCCUGACUAAAGUUUUGAGACCAAAGGGGCAUCUCCUAAGCGAGAAGGCGAAGUGUUCAAAGAUGGAAGCUUUACUGACUCGUGGGAGUCCCACCAGGGUUAGGGUUUCCACAUUUCAUCUUUUAUUGACAAUAUCAGAGUCUUAUGCGUGUGGCACAUUUAAAUAAAUGAAUGGGUUUGAUUGCUUCAUUCACUUACAUUUUGUCUCAUUUUAUGUUAUUUUAUAGGUAAAUAUGUUGGGAGCCGUCAAAUCAAACUACUUAAAAAGUAUGUGGAAGGACAGAAACCUUGAGGUGGUCCGGAAAAACAGAAAGAGAAAAAAGAAGCUUGGACUGAGAUAGUCGUAUGGGAGAGACUUGUGAAUGGGGAAAAAGCAGAAAAUAACAGAGCUGGAGCAUGAAGACGUGAAUGAGGAGCCGCUGCUGAUGUCAUGCCAUACAUUUGUUUACCAUGCAGACACCUUCUGAAUUUAAAUUAUGCAAUAUGUUUUAAAAAUGGCCCCCUCAUGAAGACCACAGAAACAGUCUGUGGUUUUGUAAAAUACUCCAGUCGCGUGUUGGCCGUCGAGUAGCCCCGAAGCGUCUGGGCGGCGUCGAUGAUAAUAAUGCAGUUCAACUUGGCAGACAUCAACGCUGCGUGAUCGAAGGACGAUUUCUAAAGGGGUUUGUUCUGAAUGCUCCUUCACUUUGUGAUGGUGUCAUCUUUAGGAUUCCCCUUUAAAUGUUUAUAUAACGUUCUGCACUGUUUGAAGUGAAUAUAAUUUGUGUAUAAAAAGUUGAAUUCUGCU